AUUGAACGCUGGCGGCAGGCUUAACACAUGCAAGUCGAGCGGGGAAGGGUAGCUUGCUACCUAACCUAGCGGCGGACGGGUGAGUAAUGCUUAGGAAUCUGCCAUUUAGUGGGGGACAACAUUCCGAAAGGAAUGCUAGUACCGCAUACGUCCUACGGGAGAAAGCAGGGGAUCUUCGGACCUUGCGCUAAAUGAUGAGCCUAAGUCGGAUUAGCUAGUUGGUGGGGUAAAGGCCUACCAAGGCGACGAUCUGUAGCGGGUCUGAGAGGAUGAUCGGCCAAACUGGGAAUGAGAGACAGCCCAGGGUCCUACGGGAGGCAGCAGUAUGGAAUAUUGGACAAUGGGCGGAAGCCUGAUCCAGCCAUGCCGCGUGUGUGAAGAAGGCCUUAUGGUUGUAAAGCACUUCAAGCGAGGAGGAGGCUACUUAGAUUAAUACUCUAGGAUAGUGGACGUUACUCGCAGAAUAAGCACCGGCUAACUCUGUGCCAGCAGCCGCGGUAA
rnacentral:rRNA from 1 species